rnacentral:misc_RNA from 1 species
UUUCCGUAGGUGAACCUGCGGAAGGAUCAUUAUUGAAUGAACUUGGUAUGAUUGUUGCUGGCCCAUCUGGGCAUGUGCACGUCUGCCAUCUUUAUCUUUCCACCUGUGCACAUAUUGUAGGUCUGGAAUAAAUUUCUGAGGCAACUCGGUAGUGGGGAAUGCUGCUGCGAAGUGGCUUUGUCUGUAAUUUCAGAUCUAUGUUUUCAUAUACACCAUAAAAAUGUAACAGAAUGUAUUAAUGGGUCUUGUACCUAUAAACUAUAUACAACUUUCAGCAACGGAUCUCUUGGCUCUU